rnacentral:rRNA from 1 species
GACGAACGCUGGCGGCGUGCUUAACACAUGCAAGUCACGGGGGUCUCGCAAGAGAGAACCGGCGAACGGGUGCGUAACACGUGAACAACCUGCCGUUGUGAGGGGGAUAGCCGGGCUAACGCCCGGGUAAUACCGCAUACGCUGCCCGAGGGGAGUCCCUUGGGGAGGAAAGCCAUGGCGCAAGCGAUGGCGCACGACGAGGGGUUCGCGGCCUAUCAGCUA